UACGAAGGGGGGCUAGCGUUGUUCGGAAUUACUGGGCGUAAAGCGCACGUAGGCGGCUUUGUAAGUUAGAGGUGAAAGCCCGGGGCUCAACUCCGGAAUUGCCUUUAAGACUGCAUCGCUAGAAUUGUGGAGAGGUAAGUGGAAUUCCGAGUGUAGAGGUGAAAUUCGUAGAUAUUCGGAAGAACACCAGUGGCGAAGGCGGGUCUCUGGACAGUUCCUGACGCUGAGGCACGAAGGUCAGGGGGAGCAAACGGG
rnacentral:rRNA from 1 species